CCCAGGCGCCCCUCAUAUCAACGUAUUUUAUUUCUUCAUGGUACUUUUACCUAUCUAGCUUGUUUACUUCUUUAUGUCUGUCUUUCUUCUCUCUAGAGUGUAAACUCAAUAAGGUCCUUGAUUUUCCCGUUCACCGAUGUAGCCCCAGGACUUAAAACAGGUGUGGCACUAAUAGUUGCUGAAGAACCAUGCCUGCAGAAUGAGGGGAUGCCUGCUGUAUGAGUGGACGAGCUAGAUCAUCUCCCGAGUCCUUUUAAGCUCUAAGUCUCUGAGACACUCAAUAAAUUGAGUAGAGACCUACAUACAACCAUGACUGUACCGUCUUACAGAUGUGGAAACUGAGGCAGUGAGCGGCUUGCCAGAGGCCUCACUGAGAGGGAUGUGGUGUGGUCCAGGAGCAGCGUAUGGAAAGUCAAAAGCAGGAGACUCACGUUUGGGUCCUCACACCCUCCUACUCAGUCGCCCUUCCUUCCUAGAGCUGCGUGAGCUGGACAAGCCAUUUCAUAUCUCCAAGGACAGUUUCUCCAUCGACCGAGAAGACAUACGGGUAACUCUGGUCUAGGGUUACUGUGAGCUGGUGAAGCUUGGGGAACUGAAUGGCACUAGGCACUUUGCAGGAUGUUUGCCCUUUCUUUACCUCCCCAGCAGGUCCUGCGGUGGGGGGCGGGGAUAAGGAAGGAAGCCCAGGAAGGAAGGGCUGUCUGUGGAGGAAGGGAGAGCCAGCUCAUUGUCAAUGUUUGUUUUCUCACCUGAGUCCCCCAGCCCUCCCCUAGCCUUGCUUCUCUCACCUGCUCAGGUAAAGAGGUAGGGGGAGCCUUGCUCAGCCAAUGAACUGCAGUCAUGCUCUUAAAGGCACCCAGCCACUGGCAGGAAAACCAGCCAUGCCACCUGGAGAGCUCCCAGGUGGGGGCCGGAGGCAGCUGUGCCAGCUAGGUGUAAUUAAGCCUCCGUGGCCACGCCGUGACCCCAGGGCCUGGUCAUCUGGUGGUGUCCUAGUGGGUGCUGUCUUCAGAGAGGCCACCUUCGCCUUUGCCCAAAGCUGGCCUUCCAGGAGGCUCCCUUGUCUAGCUGCCCUGGCAGACACCCAGGAAGGAAAGACAGCGUGGCCUUGGCAACUGCCCGCCAGGAAGGAGCCCACAGGUGUGAGGGAGAAGCCACUUCCCUGUCGUGACCCCCUGCAGCAACCCCGAUGUGAACUUUAA
rnacentral:lncRNA from 1 species